rnacentral:rRNA from 1 species
ACUCAAAUGAAUUGACGGGGGCCCGCACAAGCGGUGGAGCAUGUGGUUCAAUUCGAAGCAACGCGCAGAACCUUACCAACGUUUGACAUCCCGGUCGCGGAUACCAGAGACGGUGUCCUUCAGUUCGGCUGGACCGGAGACAGGUGCUGCAUGGCUGUCGUCAGCUCGUGUCGUGAGAUGUUGGGUUAAGUCCCGCAACGAGCGCAACCCUCGGCCUUAGUUGCCAUCAUUUAGUUGGGCACUCUAAGGCGACUGCCGGUGAUAAGCCGGAGGAAGGUGGGGAUGACGUCAAGUCCUCAUGGCCCUUACACGUUGGGCUACACACGUGCUACAAUGGCGGUGACAGAGGGAUGCUAGGGAGCGAUCCUUCGCAAAUCUCGAAAAACCGUCUCAGUUCGGAUUGGGGUCUGCAACUCGACCCCAUGAAGUUGGAAUCGCUAGUAAUCGCAGAUCAGAAUGCUGCGGUGAAUACGUUCCCGGGCCUUGCACACACCGCCCGU